UACGGGGGGGGGCAAGCGUUGUUCGGAAUUACUGGGCGUAAAGGGCUCGUAGGUGGCCAACUAAGUCGGAUGUGAAAUCCCUCAGCUUAACUGGGGAACUGCGUCCGAUACUGGAUGGCUCGAGUUUGGGAGAGGGAUGCGGAAUUCCAGGUGUAGCGGUGAAAUGCGUAGAUAUCUGGAGGAACACCGGUGGCGAAGGCGGCAUCCUGGACCAACACUGACACUGAGGAGCGAAAGCCAGGGGAGCAAACGGG
rnacentral:rRNA from 1 species